CUUUACCACAGUUACUUGUUCUCUUGUUGCAGUGGCAGGAAUGCAGCUGGAAAAUCCUCAGAUGCUUGUUCCCUCUGAAAAUUAACUAGAGGACAAACAAUGGAGUGCUUGCAUUAAACUCUGGCUCUGGGUCACUCCCGUGUAUUGUAGGGAUAAAAGACAUAUGCCGCUACCCAAAGCCCCAUGCUGACUCUUGAGAGGAUGAGAGGUCAAGUUAGUGCUGUGUCAAGGAUACACAAGCAGUGUAUAAAGAGGCUCAUGUGGCAAUAAUGGCAAAUGCUUGCCAACUCUGUGGAAUGGAGCCAUCCAGGAAACAGACGCCCAGCUCCAGUCCAACUGCAAAAUACCUGCAGCUCCUGCCAACGUCUUGAGCUUACCACAGUGGAAUGAGGACCUGGAUCAGGCCACCCAGACCUUAUGUCCAUCAUGGCAGUGAAGACACUGAGAAACAACACCGUGUGGAAGGAGGAUGUGUCAGAAGUCCUCGUGUGGUGGCAGACCAGGAAGCAGACAGAGCAGCCAACACUAAAAGUAAAUCAACCUUCAGACCCAGCCCAUGGUGGCCCCACCUCUACCAGCUAAGCCACUUACAUUAGCAAUUCCACCAUCUUCAAAAGCAGUGACCACAUGCUGGCGUGUGAGGUUCAAACCCAUGAGCCUUCAGAGGACAUUUCAUGUUGGAAGGUAGUUUUGGAGGGUGGCUGUCAAACAAAAAAGUAAAAAGAGGGAAGAGUAUUUGGGAUGGAGAGAAGUGGCAAGACGCUGUGGAUAAAACACGCUUGGUUUUUGAAGGACUCCCAAGACCUGCACACAUGAAUGAAAACAUGCUUUCAAAGCUAGAACCGCCUCCUCGGGGAAUUGCCUCAUUGUUCUUUCUGAUGGAGCAUCUACUGUUUCAGUUCUUGGCCAUUUCUUAGGGUUAGGAUUCAACUCAUGGGAAGACAUGUUCUUUCCCAAAGAAAUACAAAGGAUACUGUUCAUGGGUACAUAAGUGAAUUCUACCCUGUUGAAGCCAUUCCAACGGUGUGAGGAUUUCUUGGUAUGGUCUCGAUUUACAUUUCCUUAAUGGCUAAAAACACCAAGCAUAUUUGCAUAUGCUUAACUGACCAUUUUUACAUUUUUUUAACACAAUGCACAUUUGCAUUCUUUGAUGGUUCAACAUGUUUCUCUUAUUUUUGCAUCUUAAGAAUUCUUUAUAUAUCCUGAGAAGAAACCCUUAAGGAAACAAAUGGUUUAGAGUUAUUUCCUACCAUUAUGAAUUCAUCUUCCCACUUUGUGGAUGCUCUUGUUUGAUAACCAAAUUUCCAACUUUACCCACAUAUGCAUUUAUUCUUUUGUUGCUUAUACUUUCAAAGAAAACAUGAAAGGAAAUAAUCAAAGAACUCAUUUGAAAAAAAAGAAAACAGAAAAGAGAAACAAGCAAAACUCAUGAACAUUUACUAUGCUUUCUUCUGUGAGUUUUUGUGUGUUUACAUUUAGAUUUUUGAUUUGUGUGUGUAUGUGUGUGUUUUUGAAAAAUGCAUGUGUGUAAUAAGGACUUCUGCAGUAGUAGGGCGGGGUGGAGGGCUGGAAGAGGGCAAGCAGACCUGAAACAGAAAUGUUAGAAAGCCACAAGGAGUGAACACAGGCACACAGUAGCACAGAGGAACAUGGGGACAGAGUGGAAGUAGCUCUGCAGGGCAGUUCUUGUAAAAAGGAUGUUUCAGAACCUAAAAUGGCCAAGAAAGCAAACUGGUGCAGUGAGUUCAUUUGAUUUUUUAUCCUAACAUGGGUCCUGCCUGUGUCUUUCCCCAAGGUAGAUUUUAAAAAAUCAGAGCAAAGGAAUUGAAGAAAAGGGAGAAAAGGUUCAUAGCUCCAGGUUGCCAAGUUCCAGAAAUGGUAGUGGGAGGGUACUCUGUAUAAACAAAAGUUUAGCAGGUAGGUGUCUUAGUUAAUGUUCUAUUGCCAUAAAGAGACACCAAGACCAUGGCAACCCUUAUAAAGGAAAACAUUUAAGUGGGGGCUGGCUUACAGUUCAGAACCUGAGUUUAUUAUCAGCAAGGCAGGAAGCAUGGCAGCUUGUAGGCACACACCGUGCUGUAGAAGGAGCUGAGAGUUCUACAUCUGGAUUGGCCAAAAGCAGGAAGAGAAAGACAUUGAGUCUGUCUUGAGCUUUUUGGAACCCCAAAGCCCAACCCCAGGUACACACUUUCUCCAACAAGGCCACAGCUACCACAAGACCACACCUUCUAAUAGAAUUGUUGGAGGAGACCACUUGUUGGUUCUUGGCUGCUCAGCCCCAAAAUAAUUACUCAGAAACUAUAUUAUUUAAAUCACUGCUUGGCCCAUUAGCUCUAGCUUCUUAUUGGCUAACUCUUACAUCUUAAUUUAACCCAUCUCCAUUAAUCUGUGCAUUACCAUGAGGUUGUGGCCUACCAGCAAAGUUUCAGCAUGUCUGUCCCUGGCAGCGGCUCCAUGACUUCUCUCUGACUCCACCCUUCUUUCUCCCAGUAGUCAGUUUAGUUUUCCCCACCUAGCUCUGUUCCCCUAUAGCUCUACGACAGGCCCAAAGCAGUUUCUUUAUUAACCAAUGAUAUUCACAGCAUACAAAGGGGAAUCCUACAUCAUAGUGCCAUUCUCUGGUGACCAAGCAUUCAAAUCUAUGAGCCUAUUUCAAACCGCCACAUUCAGGGAGAUCAAAAUAUUUGCAUGAAAUUUUUAUGAGGUGGUGGAGAUCAAAGGUGGAGGAAAUUUACCAAAUGUCCUUUGCAAACAAGCUACCUUUGAUAGGAGAAACCAAAAGGAAUUAUUUCUUACAGAAAGCUGAUCAACAACAAAGUACAAAUGAAAAUGACACAAUGUGACCCAUUUGUCUAUAUGCUUGUUUAAAAAAGUAAUAAAAAGAAUAUUCUUGUGUGUACCAACUGGCAAAGAUUCAAAUUCACCCUUUGUCUGUGGAGACUCAACUGUCUCUCCUCCAGAAAGGGUUUCAUUCCCCAUUGAGUUAGCUUUGCACCUCUGUUGAAGGGAAUUGGUGAUAAAUGCAUGGGUUUGUUUGUUGAUUGCCAAUUUUAUUUCAUUGAACUCUGCAUCUGUCUGUAUGUGAGCACUGUGCUGUUUUGUUACUAAACAUUUAUAGAGAAUUCUGAAAUUUGGGAGUGUCUGGGUUCUCAAAAUUACUCUUAUUUUUCAAAAGUACUUUUAAUUUUGUCUGGGUCUGGGUCUUUUGUCUUUCUACCUGAAUUUAAGUAUUAACCGACACCAUGAUAGGUAUAUUUUUGUAUGUAUACAUGGAACUAAGGAGCUUGACCAUCUUAGCAAUCUUAAGUCUUCUGAUCUAUGAACAUCUAUAAAAAUCAGAUUUCUUAGAUCUUAAAACACUAUGAUGGCUUUAUGUAUGUCUCCCACUCCUUUUAUUGUAUGUUUUUCAAUGUGUUUGAUUAACUUUAUUUUGGUCUUUUAUUCUUAAUAACAUUGUAAGCAGCACCUAUAUCUUAAUUUAACUUCCAAAAAUUUCACAACCUUUUCUUCUUCUUGCCUAUUGUCCUGGCUAGUUCUUCCAUCUCAGUAUUGACUAAAAGUUGCAAGAAUGAACAUUGUUGUUUUGAUACUGACCUUACAGUAAAAUAUUUAGUUUUUAACAUUAAGUAUGAUGUGAACUUAUAGAUUUUUUUCAUAAAUAGUUUCCCCAGGUUAUGAAAGUUAUUCCCAUUUGUUUGCUACUAUGUAAUGGUGUUGAAGUUUUGUCAAUUUUUUCCCAUAUACAUAUCGAUGAGCAUAUUUUUUUAAUCUUUUAAUUUUUUAUUCUUUUUUAUUCUACAACAUGGUAUAUUUAAAUGAACCUUGCACUUCUAGGUUAGGUCCCAUUUACAUUCAGUGCCUACUCCUUUUUACACAGUUCAAUUUGCCGGUGUCUGGUAGUAUUCUGCUAAGUUUUGUUCUGAUCUUUCUUUAUAAAGAUUGUUGGUCAGUUGUUUUUUUAUAAUGUCUUUGCAUACGCUGUCCCAAUUAUUUAAGCCUCCUAUAACAGAUUGAGAAGUAUUCAUUGUGUUCUUAUCCUUGCUUGAAAAAAAAUCCUGAAGAUUGACUUUAAUUUUUUCUUUGAAUGCUUGGUAAGUUUGAAACUGACUGACUUAGCCGUACUCUGGGUCACUCAUUUAGUUUGUUUUCUGCAUCUCAAGUAAGCAUUUAGAAUUUAUCAUCUUUCUGGAGCUGUACCAUUCCAUGUAAGUUGUUAAUUGUUUUUUUAUAUGCAU